CAGGAAAAGCCCUGGCCAACUUCCUGUCCCACAAGUUGUAGGAAAGGGUGUGAUGCCCUCCUCUCCACCCACUCUGCACUCGGCUUCUCCCGAGGCCCCCUGGGAGGCCACAUGGGAGUCCAGAGUCAGGAACUGGGCCCCUGGAUUUAAGUGCAAUCACCUGCCUGACUUACUGUAGUAGCCACACCAGGUGAUCCAUAUUCCUGUACAGCCUCCUGCCCCAGAGUGUGGCUGCGUCCUGUGACUUGCUUCUCAUCAAUAGAAUACGGCAGAGACGAUGGGAAAUCACUGCCGUGAUUACGUUUCUUUAUAGAGGAUUCUGUGCGACUGGAAGAGAAAGACUUUUCUGCUAGUCCUGAAGAAGCAAAAACUCUCAUGUAUGAGCUGUCAGUGGAGAGGGCCAUGGGGCAGGGGGCUGUGAGGCGCCUCUAAAUGCCGAGAGACAGCAGGAACACAGGGCCCUCAGUCCUGAGCUGUGAGAAGAUGAAUUCUGUUGACAGCCCAGGGGAGUGUAGAGGGGGUGAUUCCCGCCCCCCCCCCUCAAGCAUCUGAUGAAGACUGCAGCCCUGCUGUUUCCUGGCUCACCCUGUAGGGGGCGACAUCCUGGAGAUUCUGCCUGCUGAGGAUAGGCUCCUAACAGGUCCCUGGCUGCUAUGCAGAGGAUGGGCUAGAGGCGGGGGCACCCACGGAAGCGGGGAGUAGAAGCUUCUGCGGUGGUCAAGAUGUGAGAUGAUGCCCACAGAUCGCCUCGGAAACGGUACUGCCUCUGUGUCCGCGUGCGCGCAUAUAUGUGUUUCCAGCAAUUCGCUCCAUGCCUCCGUGCCCCAGUUUCCUCAUCUGUAACCUUAAUGUAACAUCAACAGACCAAUCAGUUCUAGGCCGAAUGUGGGGAAGGCGAGAGUUGACCCCCUGAGCUCUCCAGGCUCCUAGGAGAGACGAGGAAACAGAUGAGGGGGACAAAUCAUAAUGGGGACCCGAGUGCCAGGAGCCUGUGGGAGGAGGGGCAGACCGCCUCUGCCUGGUGGGGGCCGGUGGGGGGCGGGGAGACAAAGCUGCCCCUGGGAGGGACGGUAGAGUGAGGCAGACGAGGAAGCCCGCCAGGCAGAUAGGAGGAGAUCGUGUGUUGGGCAAGGAACAGCAGGGGCCAAGGCUCAGGGGGUGGGAAAGCGAGUAAAGGAAAAGAAAUCAUUUUAAAAUCCUAGACUUUUAAAGCCGGAAGAGACCUUGGAGAUCGUUACAUGCAGAGGUUUCCAGGCAGGUCUUCGUUCAAGCAUGGGUACGUCUGAUUCUAUUACACAAAUCAGAUAGUAUUAAUAGCUAAACCCUUAUUGAGUGUGUCCUGUACUCCAGACGCUUUACACGCGCGGAUUCAAUUAGCUUUCCCAAUAACCCCAUGAGUUAGCCUACUACUGUUAGUAUCCUCAUUGUAUUGAUGAGGAAAAUGAGGCACAGAGAGGUUAAGAGACUUGUCCAUGGGCACACAGGGAGUCCGUGGGAGAGCCAGGAUUUGAACCCAGGCAGUCUGGUUCCCAGGCUGCGCACGCGGCUGCUAGGCCGCCCCGGCCUCUGUAUUAUGUGAAGGUGGGGGCUGCUCACUGGAAGGGCAAGGGCCGGCAGCUGUGGUUCCAUCCCUGUGCGGACAUGCCCCUGAGGCACAUGGGUAGAACCUGCCCCAAAGCGGCUCCCUGUGAAUACCACCCAUUAAGAGCCACCCUUCACCUGAUGGAGGAGCCAUAACCCUCCCCCC